UACGGAGGGUGCAAGCGUUAUCCGGAUUCACUGGGUUUAAAGGGUGCGUAGGUGGGUAGGUAAGUCAGUGGUGAAAUCCCCGAGCUUAACUUGGGAACUGCCGUUGAUACUAUCUAUCUUGAAUAUCGUGGAGGUAAGCGGAAUAUGUCAUGUAGCGGUGAAGUGCUUAGAUAUGACAUAGAACACCCAUUGCGAAGGCAGCUUACUACACGAUCAUUGACACUGAGGCACGAAAGCGUGGGGAGCAAACAGG
rnacentral:rRNA from 1 species